rnacentral:rRNA from 1 species
UUGACGGUGCUCCAUUGGAGCCGAAGUCACUGAUGCCACGCUUCCAAGAAAAGCCACUAAGCUUCAGGUAGACAAGAACCGUACCGCAAACCGACACAGGUGGGUAGGAUGAGAAUUCUAAGGCGCUUGAGAGAACUCGGGUGAAGGAACUCGGCAAAUUUGCACCGUAACUUCGGGAUAAGGUGCGCCCCGAUGAUGUGUAGAGAUUUCUCUCGAAGCAGUAAGGGGUUGCAGUGAAAAGGUGGCUGCGACUGUUUAAUAAAAACACAGCACUCUGCAAAUACGAAAGUCGACGUAUAGGGUGUGACGCCUGCCCGGUGCCGGAAGGUUAAUUGAUGGGGUGCAAGCUCUUGAUCGAAGCCCCGGUAAACGGCGGCCGUAACUAUAACGGUCCUAAGGUAGCGAAAUUCCUUGUCGGGUAAGUUCCGACCCGCACGAAUGGCGUAACGAUGGCCACACUGUCUCCACCCGAGACUCAGCGAAGUUGAAAUGUUUGUGAAGAUGCAAUCUCCCCGCGGCUAGACGGAAAGACCCCAUGAACCUUUACUGUAGCUUUGCAUUGGACUGUGACAGGACUUGUGUAGGAUAGCUGGGAGACGUUGAAGCAGGGACGCUAGUUCUUGUGGAGUCAACCUUGAAAUACCAGCCUGGUGUUGUUGCGGUUCUAACCUUGGUCCGUAAUCCGGAUCGGGGACCGUGCAUGGUGGGCAGUUUGACUGGGGCGGUCUCCUCCCAAAGAGUAACGGAGGAGUACGAAGGUCUUCUAGGUACGGUCGGACAUCGUACUGAUAGUGCAAUGGCAUAAGAAGGCUUGACUGCGAGACUGACACGUCGAGCAGGUGCGAAAGCAGGUCAUAGUGAUCCGGUGGUUCUGUAUGGAAGGGCCAUCGCUCAACGGAUAAAAGGUACUCUGGGGAUAACAGGCUGAUUCCUCCCAAGAGUUCAUAUCGACGGGGGAGUUUGGCACCUCGAUGUCGGCUCAUCUCAUCCUGGGGCUGUAGCCGGUCCCAAGGGUAUGGCUGUUCGCCAUUUAAAGAGGUACGUGAGCUGGGUUUAAAACGUCGUGAGACAGUUUGGUCCCUAUCUGCCGUGGGCGUUGGAGAUUUGACGGGGGCUGCUCCUAGUACGAGAGGACCGGAGUGGACGCAUCUCUGGUGUACCGGUUAUGACGCCAGUCGUAUCGCCGGGUAGCUAUAUGCGGAAGAGAUAAACGCUGAAAGCAUCUAAGCGUGAAACUUGCCUGAAGAUGAGAUCUCCCCAGGCCUUGAGCCUGCUAAAGGGUCGUUGAAGACCACAACGUUGAUAGGCGGGGUGUGGAAGCGCAGUAAUGCGUUAAGCUAACCCGUACUAAUUGCCCGUGCGGCUUGACCCU